rnacentral:rRNA from 1 species
AGGGCGUGGUCUAAGUAUAGCAUUAUACCGUGAAACUGCGAAUGGCUCAUUAAAUCAGUUAUCGUUUAUUUGAUAGUACCUUACUACUUGGAUAACCGUGGUAAUUCUAGAGCUAAUACAUGCUAAAAACCCCGACUUCGGAAGGGGUGUAUUUAUUAGAUAAAAAACCAACGCCCUUCGGGGCUUCUUGGUGAUUCAUGAUAACUUUACGGAUCGCAUGGCCUUGCGCCGGCGACGGUUCAUUCAAAUUUCUGCCCUAUCAACUUUCGAUGGUAAGGUAUUGGCUUACCAUGGUUUCAACGGGUAACGGGGAAUUAGGGUUCGAUUCCGGAGAGGGAGCCUGAGAAACGGCUACCACAUCCAAGGAAGGCAGCAGGCGCGCAAAUUACCCAAUCCCGACACGGGGAGGUAGUGACAAUAAAUACUGAUACAGGGCUCUUUUGGGUCUUGUAAUUGGAAUGAGUACAAUUUAAACCUCUUAACGAGGAACAAUUGGAGGGCAAGUCUGGUGCCAGCAGCCGCGGUAAUUCCAGCUCCAAUAGCGUAUAUUAAAGUUGUUGCAGUUAAAAAGCUCGUAGUUGAAACUUGGGCCUGGCUGGCAGGUCCGCCUCACCGCGUGUACUUGUCCGGCCGGGCCUUCCUUCUGGAGAACCUCAUGCCCUUCACUGGGUGUGUUGGGGACCAGGACUUUUACUUUGAAAAAAUUAGAGUGUUCAAAGCAGGCCUUUGCUCGAAUACGUUAGCAUGGAAUAAUAGAAUAGGACGUGCGGUCCUAUUUUGUUGGUUUCUAGGACCGCCGUAAUGAUUAAUAGGGACAGUCGGGGGCAUCAGUAUUCAAUUGUCAGAGGUGAAAUUCUUGGAUUUAUUGAAGACUAACUACUGCGAAAGCAUUUGCCAAGGAUGUUUUCAUUAAUCAGUGAACGAAAGUUAGGGGAUCGAAGACGAUCAGAUACCGUCGUAGUCUUAACCGUAAACUAUGCCGACUAGGGAUCGGGCGAUGUUCUUUUUUCUGACUCGCUCGGCACCUUACGAGAAAUCAAGUUUUGGGUUCUGGGGGAGUAUGGUCGCAAGGCUGAAACUUUAAGGAAUAUUUGACGGAAGA